GGGGGCGUACAUGGUUUCGACGGGGAUCAUGGGUGCCGGAUAAGCGAGCCGAAGCCCCGAGCUUCGCUAAAAUCGGGAAAACUUAAAAAAUAAACGACGAAUCCAAUUUCGUACCCGUCGCUGCUUAACCGGCGACUGUCCGCCCACCGUUGCCCACGACGGCGGUAACGGGCAUCAUUAAUGUGGGGAACCAACCCGGGCUUGACUUGACCCGGGCGGGAUUAAAAGUCUACUGAAACCGUAAUCCUGUCGGUAGGAGUGCGGCAGAGGGAAUGUCAAAAUAUCGACUACGCUCGUAGAAAGUCUUGUAAACAGGUUUUCGGACAGGGGUUCGACUCCCCUCGCCUCCACCA
rfam:Clostridium sp. CAG:138 genomic scaffold, scf60